CUACGGGGGGCAGCAGUGAGGAAUCUUCCACAAUGGGCGAAAGCCUGAUGGAGCGACACCGCGUGAAGGAUGAAGGUCUAACGACUGUAAACUUCUUUUCUGAGGGAGCAUAAUGAGAGUACUUCAGGAAUAAGCACCGGCAAAACUCGUGCCAGCAGCCGCGGUAAUACGAGUGGUGCAAGCGUUACCCGGAAUUACUGGGUGUAAAGCGUUCGCAGGCGGAUAUAUAAGUCAGAUAUGAAAGACCGAAGCUCAACUUCGUGUUUGUAUUUGAAACUAUAUAUCUGGAAUCAGGGAGAGGUAAGCGGAAUUCUAAGUGUAGGGGUGCAAUCCGUAGAUACUUAGAAGAACACCAAAAGCGAAGGCAGCUUACUGGAACUGUAUUGACGCUAAGGAACGAAAGCGUGGGGAGCGAAAAGGAUUAGAUACCCUGGUAGUC
rnacentral:rRNA from 1 species